AGAAGCAGAACAAACGCAGUUAAACUGUGACAGGUCUUGUAACUCAGGCAUGUCUUGUGACCUUUGCCAUCCUGCACAGAUGGGAAAAACAGGACCUUACAAAAUCCUUGCAAACUUGCAGAAAUAGUUACAAAAAUAGUUAUACAAGCAGAACAAAGAAUGAUGGCAUGGGUAGAGAAUUUCAGGAAGACACUGAUAAGAACUUGUUUCUCUUGUCCCUGUUUUUGGAACCCAUUUCUUCAGGGCCCCUACCUGGCCUUGCAGGUAAUGUUAUCACAGCUGUAGCUGGACUUUGGAGUGAGUCAGCCUGGUCAGGGAAGGACUUGUUUUUCUUUUUACUUGUUUUUCUUAUAUUUCCUGCUUCAUGAGCAAGAAACAACAAGCUUUACCUUCACAGUAGAAGAGUCCAGCAGAACAAAGUUGGAAGCAGAGGGAGUGAAUCUAAACCUAUGGACAGAUUCAUCUUGGAAACCCUAAGUGAGGCUAAAGUCCUGUCAACCAUCAUCUACAUACUGUCUCCCUGAAUUUGACUAUUCCAGGGACUUCAUAUAGACAGAAUCAUGCUGUAUUUGUUCUUUUAUGUCUGGCUUAUUUUACUUAACACUGUUUUUACUGUAAGUCCAGUUGUAGCAUAUGUCAGAAUUGUAUUCUAUUUUAAGGCUGAAUAACAUUCCAUUUUAAGUAUAUUUCAUAUUUUGUUUAUCCGUUCAUCUCUUAAUGGAAAUGUGAAUUGUUUCCACCUUUUGCAGUUGUGCAUACUCUUGCCAUAAAUAUUUAUGUCCAAAUAUCUGUGAGCCAGGCUUUCAAUUAUUUGGGGUAUAUAUGUAAUCUUGGAAUUGCUGAAUCAUUUUCCACAUCAGCUGCACCAUUUUGUACUUUCACUAGCAAUUCAUAAUAUCCAUUUUCUCCACAUUUUUCCCAACACUUAUUUGCUCUUAAAAGUAAGUAUUAAUUUGUAUGAAAUGGUAUCUCGUUGUAGCUUUAAUCUGCAUUUCCCUAAUGGACAAUGAUGUUGAGAAUCUUUUCAUGUGCUUAUUGAUGAUUUGUAUAUCUUCUUUGGUGAGAAAUGUCCAUUCAAACCCUUAGCCUAUUUUUAAUUGGUUUUUCUUGUUGAGUUGUAGGAGUUAUUUAUAUAUUCUGGAUAUUAGUUUCUUAUCAGAUAUAUGAUUGACAGAUAUUUUCCCUAUUUGUGGAUUGCCUUUUCACUCUGUUGGUAGUGUUUUUAGGUAUUCAGAAGUUUCUAAUUUUGUCCAGCUUACAUAUUUUUUAUUUUGCUGGGUGUAGUGGCUUAAACCUGUAAUCCCAGCACUUCGGGAGGUCAAGGUGGGCAGAUGACCUGAGGUCGGGAGCUUGAGACUGGAGUCACCAACAUGGAGAAACUCUGUCUUUACUAAAAAACAAAAUUAGCUGGUCGUGGUGGCACAUGCCUAUAAUCCCAGCUAAUCCCAGAUUCUCUCGAGGGAGGAGAAUUGCUUGAACCCAGGAGGCAGAGGUUGCAGUGAGCCAAGAUUGUGCUAUUGCACGCCAGCCUGGGCAACAACAGCAAAACUCCAUUUCAAAAAAAAGAUAUUCUGAAGUAUUUUAUUCUUUUGGAUUCUAUUUUAAAUAGGAUUAUUUUCUUAAUUUCCUUUUCAGAUUAUUCAGUGCCAAUAUAUGAAAAUAUGACUUAUUUGUAUGUACUGAAUGUCUAACAGUUUGUGUAUUUUUUUGUGUAAUCUUUAUGUUUUCAACAUAAAGGUUUACGUCAUUAGCAAAUUAAGAUGAUUUCAUUAAUCUUUUACAAUUUAGAUGCCUGUUAUUUUUUCCUUGCCAAUUGACCUGCCUUAAAUUUCCAGUACGCUGUUAAAUAGCAGCAAUUUAGAUAGGCACCUCUGGCACAGUGGCUCACACUGUAAUCCCAGCACUUUCGGAGGCCAAGGCAGACGGAUCACUUGAAGCCAGGAGUUCAAAUUCAACUUUUCCUUUUUUGCAGAAUUUCUGUGUACUAUUUACCAAUGAUCUAAAACGCAACAUAUUGUAGUGUAAACCUAAAAAAACAAACACAGAGACUCUUUAAAAGAAAAGGUGUUUAUUUGGAAAAGGAAAAUUGCAAGCAAUGCACAAGCUAUAGUAAACUAGGUGCACAUUCAGAGCAGUAAAGGAAGACAAAGGAGCUUUAAAGUAGUAAAUGAGGAGGAUUACAUAACUGUUAUGAAAUAACUAUCCCUGGCUACAAAGAUCAGUAACACAGGUGUGUGGGUAAGUCAGAAAGAAAAGUAACAAACAUAAUGCUAGUCUGAGGUUGAAUAGGCAGUUGUUGGCAGAUGUCUUGUGGAAAUUUUUUUGUGGAAAUUUUUUUUGUAAGUUUGUGAUAUGGUUCCGAUCUGUGUUCCCACCCAAAUCUCACACUGAAUUGAAAUCUUCAGUAUUGAAGCAAGGGCCCUUUUUGGGGGUGAUUGGAUCAUGGGGGCAGUUGCUCACAAUCCCCCUUUGGUGCUGUCAUUCUGAUAGUGAGCUCUCCUGUGAUAUGGUUGUUUAAAAGUGUGUGCCACUUUCCCCUCUCUCUCUGGAUCCUGCUCCAGCCAUGUGAGACACUUGUAUCUGCUUUGCCUUCUGCCAUGAGUUAAAGCUCCCUGAGGCCUCCCCAGAAGCACAUGUUUCCAUGCUUCCUGUGCAGCCUGGAGAACUGUGAACCAAUUAAACCUCUGUUCUUUAUAAAUUACCCAGUCUCAGACAUUUCUUUAUAGCAAUAUGAGAACAGACUAAUAGUGAUACUAACAAUCACUUGGUCCAAUAACCUUUAAAUCCUGGUAUCCAGAAUUCUGCAUAGUAGUUUAAACGGGCUUGAAAUUAGUUUAAAUAAGACCACUUAAAUGGACUAAUAGUUUGUGAUGGACAUUGUGCAAGGUUGUAGAGUUUUGUAGAGUCUUCUUUGCUAUCAGGCAUACAAGUACCUAUAUUCCUGGCCUUUCCUGGCUCCAUUUGUUAGGAAUUUUUUUUUAACAUUAGGGACUCCAUUUUUAAUCUGACAGCUUUCACGGUAUACAUGUGUAAUAUUGUCGACGUAAAGUAAUUUGCUUCUAAGUGUCAGAUAAAAAUAAUCGGUGAGAAGGUCCAAAGUUGGGGGAAAUAAAGAAUGUGGCUUUACUACAAUAUCAACCACUAUGUGACUUUAACUGGCAGCCUCAAUUCUCAUAUUUAUAAAACAACAUACUGAAGAGUAUUCAUGUUUAUACCUUUUUCCCACAUUAUACAUUUUCAAAUGAAUACUAUCCACAAAUCUAAUAUGCCAAAGUGAUCAAAAGCCUGCUGCUAACUAAAAAAAAGAGUAUGAAAAAAAUAAUGAACCAAGAAAAAAAAGGCAGCUGAUAUGGCUAGGUGUGCACAUGUAGGAUUAUUUUCUCCCAUCAUGCUAUAACUAUCCACGACCACCUUACGGUUUCAUUGUACUGAACCCUGUUUAAACUACCUCUGCA
rnacentral:lncRNA from 1 species